UACGAAGGGGGCUAGCGUUGUUCGGAAUUACUGGGCGUAAAGCGCGCGCAGGCGGCCAAUCAAGUCAGGGGUGAAAGCCCGGAGCUUAACUCCGGAACUGCCUCUGAAACUGCUUGGCUUGAGUACGGGAGAGGUGAGUGGAAUUCCCAGUGUAGAGGUGAAAUUCGUAGAUAUUGGGAAGAACACCGGUGGCGAAGGCGGCUCACUGGCCCGUUACUGACGCUCAGGCGCGACAGCGUGGGGAUCAAACAG
rnacentral:rRNA from 1 species